ensembl:lncRNA
UUCUACUGUCUGUCUCUCUUCCCUCCCUCCCUCUCUCUUCUUCUCUUUCUUCCUUCCUCCGCCCCUCUCUCUCUUCUUUGUAUCUCUCUCUGUCUCUGUCUCUCUCUCUUCCUCUCUCUUCUACUCUUUCUCCCACUCUUUCUUCCUCUCUCCCACUCUCUCUCUCUCUCUUCCUCUUUUCUACUAUUUUUCUCUUUCUUCCUUUCUCUCUUCCUCUAUCCUCCUCUCCCUUUAUUUUUUCUCUCUUCCUCUGUCUGUCUUUAUCCCCUUUUGUGUUGCUCCCUCUUCCUCUCUCUCUUCCACUAUCUCUUUUUCUCUCUCCCUCUCUCUUUCCCUCCUUCACAUACUCUGUUUCUCUUCCUCUCUCUUUCUCCCUCUCUUCAUUUCCCUCUCCCUCUCCCCCUUUACCCUUUUCUAUAUAUAACACAGGUCCUCUCUCUCUUCCCUCUCUACAGCCUUUUCUUUUCUCUCUUCCCUCUCCACUCUUUCUCUCUUCCCUCUUUCCACGUGCUCUCAGUUUUGGUUCUUUCUCUCUCUCCCCCCCUCUCUCCCUUCUCCCUCCUCUCUCUUUUCCUCUGCUCUCUCUUCCUCUGUUUCCCUCUCUCUUGUUCUUUUUCUCUCUUCCUCUUUCAUUCUUUCCUUGCUUUUCACUCUCUUCCUCCCUCUCUCCUCUCUCUUCUCUCUUGUUUCUCUUUUCGUUUUCUACUCUUUAUUUUUUCUCUCUUCCUCUCUCUCCCUCUCUCCCGCUCUCUUCUACUCUCUAUUUCUCUCUCUUCCUCUCUUUCCUCUUUUUCUCUCUCUCUUCCUCUGUUUUCUCUCUUCUCCUCUUUCUUCCACUCUCUAUUUUUCUUUUACUUCCACUCUAUUUUUAUCUCUCUCUUCUUCUUUUUCUCUCUCUUCCUCUCUUCUUUUUUUUCUUUCCUCCCUCUCUCUCUUCCACUCUCUUUUCCCUUUUUCUCUCUUACUCUCUAUCCCCCUCUCUCUUUACCUCUCCUCCUCUCUUUUUCUCUGUCUCUCUUCCUCUCUCUUUUUCUCACUCUCUCUUCUUCUCUUUUUCUCCCAAUCUCCUCUCUCUCUUGUUCUUUUUCUCUCUCUUCCUCGCUUUUCCUCUCUUCUCCCUCUUUCUCCCCACCUCUCUCCCUUUUCUUGCUUUCUUUUGCUCUCUCUUUUCCUUUUUCCUCCUCUUCCCCUCUGUCUUCCACUCUUUUUUCUCUCUCCCUCUUUCUCUUUUUUCCUCUCUCCCUCUCUCUCUCUCUCUCUCUUUUCCACUCUAUUUUUUCUUCUCUCUUUCUCUCAUUGUCUCUUCCUAUCUUCCACUGUCUCUGUCUCUUCCACUUUAUUUCUCUCUCUCUCACUCUUUCUGUCCUCCUCUCAUCAUUUUUCUCCUCCUCUCUUUCUCUCUCUAUUCCACUCUCUUCCUCUCUCCUCCUGUCUACAUUUCUCUCCUCCUCUUUUUCUCCCUCUCUCGCCCUCUCUUUUCUUUCUCUCUCUUCCGCUCUAUUUUUCUCUUUCCUCCUCACUUUCUUCCUCUCUCUCUUUCCACCGCUUUUCCUCUCUCUCCUCUCGCUCUUCCUUUUUCUCUCUUACUUCUCUUUUUUCUCUCUCCAACUCCUUCUUUCCCUUUGUCUCUCUCUCCCCUGUGUGUCUCUCUCCCUCUCAUCCACUCUUGACUUUCUCUUUUUUUCCCUCUCCCACCGCUCUCUCUCCUUUUUCCCCUUCUCUCCCACUCUUGUUCCCUCCCCCCUCUCUUUCUUUGUCUAUUUUUUUCUCUCUUCCUCUAUCUCUUCCCUCCUCUCUGUCUCUUCCUCUCUUUCCUCUUCUCUCUCCCCCUCUCUUUCUCCAUCUCUUUUUCUCUUUUCUUCUCUCUCUUCAACUCUCUUCUCCCCCGCUCCUGCUUCUUCUUCUCCUUCUGCCUCUCUUUUUCCCCUCUCUCUUCACUUCCCUCGCCCCCUCUUUUACUCUCUACUUUUGUCUCUCUUUCUUCCUCUCUUGUCCCCUCUCUUCCUGUCUUCUCCCUCUCUUUCUCCUUCUCCCUCUCUCUUUUCCUCAUUUUUCCCUUUAUCUUUCUGUCUCUUCCACUCCUUGUACUCUUUUUUAAUCUCCCGUUCUCAUUUUCUCCCUCUCUCUCUUUACCAGGUUCUAUUUCUCUCUCGUUCCUUCUUUCUCUCUUCUGCUUCUCUCUUUCUCUGUCUUUUCCACUCCAUUUUCUCGUGCUCUCUUCCUCUACUUCAUCCUCUCUCUCUCUCCUCCACUGUCUAUUUCUAUCUCUCUCUUCUCCACUAUUUCUCUCUCUCACGCUUCUCCACUAUCUGUUUCUCUCUCUCUCUCUAUCCAUGGUCUAUUUCUCUCUCUAUUUUUUCCACUGUCUGUGUCUCUUUCUCUCUUCUCAGCACAAUUUCUCUCAUUCUCCUCUCCACUGUCUGUCUCUUUCUCUCUUCUCCACUGUCUAUUUCCAUCUCUCUCUCUCUUCUCAUAUCUGUUCUCUCUCUCUCUAUCCAUAUCUGUUUCUCUCUAUUUUUUCCACUGUCUGUGUCUCUUUCUCUCUUCUCAACUGUCAAUUUCUCUCCUCCUCUCCACUGUCUGUCUUGUUCUCUCUUCUCCACUGUCUAUUUCUAUCUCUAUCCCUCUUCUCCACUGUCUCUGUCUCUCUCUCUCUCUCUCUCUUUUCCAGUCUAUUUUUUUAUCUCUCUCUUCUCCACUAUUUCUCUCUUUCUCUUUUCCACUGUCUGUAUCUCUCUCUCUCCCCUCUACACUCUCUGUCACUCUCUCUCUUCCCCACAAUCUAUUUCUCUCUCUGUCUCUUUUCUACUGUCUGUCUCUCUCUCUUCUUCACUCUCUGUUUCUCUCUCUUCUCCACCAUUUCUCUCUCUCUUUCCCACUGUCUGUGUCUCUCUCUCUUCUUCACUGUCUGAGUCUCUCUCUCUCUUUUCCACUGUCUAUUUCUCUCUCUCUCUCUCUCUUUUUGUAGACUGUCUUGUAUUGUCUCUCUCAGAUUUGACUGUUUCUCUCUCCUCUCUUCUCAGUUAUCUGUUUCUGUCUCUCUCUCUCUUCUCCACUGUCUGGCUACUUUCUGUCUCUCUCUCUUCUCCACUGUCUGUUUCUAUCUCUAUCCCUCUACUCCACUGUCUCUCUCUCUCUUUUCCACUAUUUCUCUCUCUCUCUCUUCUCCACUGUCUAUUUUUCUCUCUCUCUCUUCUCCACUAUCUCUCUCUCUCUCUUUUCCAUUGUCUUUAUCUCUCUCUCUUCUCCUUUCAUGUUUGUCUCCCUCUCUUUUCCAUGUCUUGUGUCCUCUUUCUCUCCUCCUCUUUCACCAAUAACUGUUCUCUCUCUCUCUCUCGUUUCCACUGUCUUUCUGUGUCAGCUCUCCUCUUCUCCACUGUUGUCUCACUCUCAGCUUUCACUUUCAUCUGUGUCCCUCUCUCUCUCUCUCUUCUAUACUAUUUCUCUCUCUCUCUCAUUUCCACUGUCUGUAUCUCGCUUUCUCUCUCUUCUCCACUAUCUAUGUCAAUCUCUCUCUUCUCCACUAUCUAA